UAUCUUGUGCUUUCGUCCCU
rnacentral:siRNA from 1 species